UACAGAGGGUGCGAGCGUUGUCCGGAAUCACUGGGCGUAAAGGGCGCGUAGGCGGCGCGGAUAGUCGGCGGUGAAAGCCCGGAGCUCAACUCCGGGUCGGCCGUCGAUACUUCCGGGCUUGAGCACUGUAGAGGCAGAUGGAAUUCCGGGUGUAGCGGUGGAAUGCGUAGAGAUCCGGAAGAACACCGGUGGCGAAGGCGGUCUGCUGGGCAGUUGCUGACGCUGAUGCGCGACAGCGUGGGGAGCAAACAGG
rnacentral:rRNA from 1 species